UCACUUGUGGAAUUUCACUGGGUAUGUUGUUGUUGUAUACUACUAUGUUGAUUCAUUAAUUUUUCAUAAUUGUAGUUCGCAUGACCGCUAGAAGCUACAACUUGCUGAGUCAAAUAUGUGGCAAAUUUUAUUAGCAAAUAUGAACACACAUACGUAUUUGCACUAACGUUAUAGCUAUCCAUCAUGACUAAACAAGUAAACUACACAAAUGUUACCUAUGUCCCGUUGAGGCAAUUUUUGUGCACAAUGGGCCAAAUAUAAGCGGCAAUAAAACGAUGCUAGUGGAUCUGCAAUGCCUCUUGCCAUCAUAACCAGUCGUGGAAGAUUAUUGGCAGGUUGUUCCGAAAGGAAACGCCAGCAAUGGCAUAUGGCCAGCUCCAAGUAUCUGUUCACAAGAGUAUUUGUCAAACAGAAGACCAACAGAAAUAUAAACUCGUGAACAGUUUUUCAAUUUUAAGAAAGAAAAGAAAUGAAAAAGGUGAUUUCGGUUUUCUCCCUGCAAUGAUAUCUUGUAUAGGUUGCAGACACUUCGCUUUUCUAAAGAAAAAGAGAAGAAGAGAUCUGAUAAUUGAUUACUCAAUCAAGCAUGUUGGUAUUUAAAUAGUUUUACAAAUAAAACUUAAAAGGAAGAAAGAAAUUUUGAGUUCUAAUUACACAAUCAUAGGGAUUCUAAAACCUUUUGCAUAUUUAUAAUGGGCUCUUGACAUACUAACAAUAUUUAAUUCUUAAUAACUGCCAGAAACUGCUCAGCUGAUAUGGAACAUGAGCACGAAACUACAAAUACCAGAGGUGGAAUUCUCAUUGAAAACUUCAAAUCAUUUCAGUCUAGAGGAGGAGGCAGAAUCUACCUUACUUUUAUGAUUAUGAUGAAAGCAGUUGCAUAGAAAAGCCACAUGGCAAUGUAUCCUAGAUAAUUUAAAAUUCACCAUGCUAUCACAAUACAGAGAUAAUCUACAGCUUGCAUUCUAACAAUUUUUCACUAGUGAACCGAGAUCAUCACUUUUGGAAAAAUUCAAAGAUCAUUCCUUAAAUAUGUCAAUUUCCAAUAACUCUAUAAUGCUUCCAAAUCCAUUCCAGCAUCUCACCUAACGACAUUAUGUUAAUAAAUAAUAGACACCUUAAGAUAAAUUAAAGUAAAAAAAAGAAGCAGAAUCACGAGUUAUAAAGACACAGGCUAGGAAUUGCAAGAACUGAGGACCUCACAUGCGUGGCAGUAGCUCGCGGAUGGAACCAACUUUGCAAAACCAGUUAUAGCAGGUUUCUUUGGCUUCAGCACAGAUUUCAGUUGCUUGAAAGUUACCUGUUACAGAUCAAGUGCAUCUUUUAGUAAGAAAUGGGACUCAGAAACCAGAACAGUUACAUCAAGGAUAUCAGAAUACUGAAAACAAAGAAGAAACAAAAUUUGGAAAGAUAUCUUAGAGAUUGGUAUACUAAAGACAUUGAAACCUUGUCCUUCAACUUAAAAAUAAAAUUUUACUAAUGAAAAAAAAAUCCGCGCAAUUCUGAUUUGGAAUGUUAACAACACCACAAUUAACUUAUCCAGCAUCGCUUCACCAUAUAACCAUCCUCUUUGACUAUGAUUAAUUAUAAUGAGAAUUGGAGAUCCUUAAGGUGCCAAUGUCAGGCUUAGCAAUAAGACAAAUUUCAUAACUUGUUACCGAGAUAUCUACUAUUCUAACCGUGGGCCUAAGGAUUCUACAGUCUUCCAUUACAAUAAACAGUGGCAGACUGCUCUAAGUCAUCCAAACAAAAUCAAUUAGAAAAUCUUACAAAUUAUUUCCAAGUUGAUUUAUACACAAGGAUGAUGACAAACUUAUUUUACACAAACAGUACAUUAGAGACUAAAUUUGAGUCACAGUAAAAGCACAUAUGACAGCAGUGGACACCGGAUACUGGUAACUAGGUGCCAGUUGGCCACGAGGAAGCAGAGCUAGAGGUAAAUGUGAGGGAUAUACCUGGUAAAUGGACUAAUGUCCCAUCUUCAGUAUAUUCAGCUUUCUGCCUGAUGCGUUCCCAUACCAUAUCCCCUAACAUAUCUAGUAUUUCUGUAGCUAGAACAAAAAGUGUUGGAUACAAUUGUAGUACAGAUGUGUCCGACAGUAACUUAGCAACCUAUUCAAGAGAAAUCAAGACACAUUUAGCUAAGAAAUGAAAGUAGAAUUGCCAACAGGCCACGUGAUGUUAUAGAAGAGUCUUAAGUUAUUAUAUCUGUGGUUCCAUUAGACCAGUUAACUAAUUUGAUCCUUCAUAUUUUUAUUAUUUGUUUUACUGUUGAAAUCAAUGAGAAGAGAAGAAACGUAUACUGUUAAAUGAUUUAUAAGAAAGCAAUUCAAUCAUGUUCUUUUUACUGUUUAUUUUUCUUGAAAUUAUGUUGAUCUAUCAGAUUAUCAGGUUAAAGUGUGUUGUACCUUAACAGAUGAAUUCAUCUUUUCAGUAACAAGUGUCAUCAGUUGGAAGCAGAAAAUAAGGGAAUAGUCUGCAAUGUUUGUCUCAAAUCAAUGUGGAGAUAGAACUAAAUUGGACUUAUUGUUGAUUGAUGCUAUAUGUUUGAACUAGGGAUGAGCAUUCAGUCGGUUGUUUGGUUUAUAGAAGUUGGUUCGGUAUUUCGGUUUAUGGUUUGGUAAAAGUGAAAAAAUCAAUCUGAAAUUAGUUCGGUUUGUUCUUUUAUAUUUAUUUUGGUUCGGAUUUUGGGUUUGGGCUUUAUCAUGCUAGCCUUUUUCAAAUCUUCUCCUGACUGGUCAUUCAAUUCAUCAGAACUUGUGGUAGCAUAAAACCGUAACUUUUGCUUCCUACCAAUGUAGUUUUGUCAGAUAACAUUGUUCAUGUAACAUAACAUAUUGGGAAAUACUUCUACACUUGAUACUUGAUAGUUCAAAACUGACAUUAAUAUUGCACCACAACUCAUCUUUUCCUUAUUCUGAAAAGCCUAUAGACAAACACUGGAGGGAAGAUAUGAAAAUUUGAAAAGAAACAAAGUGAAGAUAUGAAAACACAGAAAAUUAAGAAUUAAAAUCCCCGUUCUUAAUUUAUGGCUCACAAUGACUCAAUGAAUGUAAAGGAAAUAAAUCAGCAAACAAAUAACAUAAAGAAACAAUUAAAUUAUUUUCCUUAAACUUCCUCUAUUGGCACACUUGUCGAAUGUUUUCUCAGAUUUUGAAGAAUGAAAUAAUUUCUUUCAGUUAUCCUUCCAAUCCUUUACAAUAUCCCUUCUUCCCUUUGGAUUCAUGCCAAUUUCUCACACUAUUAAAUCACAAUGGUUGAGCACGUUACUUACAAGUACAAAUUUCGAUUUUUCAGUUUGACCGAUUUUAUUUCCUUAAGAAUGAAAACCGAACCGAAUAACUGAAAUUUUAAAAAAUUAAAACUAAAAAAAUAAAAUAUUCUGUUCAGAGGGUUUUUUGGCUUGAAAAAGCCCAUCCCUAGCAAACUUGAAACGGACGGGUACUUAAUUAAAACUGAAGUCAGCCAAGUAUUACUAAAUAGCAAACUUGAAAGUUGAAACUGACUUUUUGAACAAAUACCAAAUAAAUUUUUAAAUGGACGGAUACUUAUCCAAAAACACUGAUCACUUGAUCAGGAAUAACCUGAGUGAACUUGACUGAGCUAUGACCCAAUAUUAAAUACUCCAUUUGUUUCAAUUUGUUCGCCUUACUUUCCUUUUUGGUCUAUUUAAAAAAACUGUCUCUUUCUUAAUUUGACAACUCUUUAAUUUCAGAAUUUCACAUGGCAUAUAUAAGGCCACAAGAUUCAAAAGUCUUUUUUUAUUUUCUUUAACUCUAUGCCGAGUCAAACUAAGACAAACAUAUUGAAAGGGAGAGAGCAGCAAGUUUGAAAUUGACUUACUGUAUGAAUACCAAAUAAAAUUGUUAAAUUGAGAGGUACAUAUCCAAAAAGAACGAUCACUUGAUUGGAAAGUUCAGAAUCCAGCAAGAAGCAAAUGUGACACAGUUUAGAACAAAAACUACCUUGAUUGACAAAUUAAAGGAGGUUACGCGGUCACUUGCAUGCCAGGCACGACUAAUUUCAUCUUUAAGUUCAGUUAAGCGUGAGACAUACUCCUGCAGGGUGAUAUAUUUAACACCUUCUUCAGCAAAUCUCUGAGGAUCAUCUAGCUCCUCUAGAUGUACAUUUGCUGAGGGUUUCUCAGGGCCUACAAUAUUUUAUCAUCAUAGCAAUUAUUGCCGAUUAAAUAAAAUAGUUAGUCUACCAUAUCAAACAAGUUCAAAUGAUACCCCCUUUACAUUUUUCUUAGCUGCAUUAGAAAAUAAAAGGAUGAGAGAACUUUAAAAGUCCAUGAAAAUAAAGAAAAAAGCUUUAUAAUCACUUCUUUUGUCCUGUUUUAUAUGAAAAAUCUUUGAUUGAGCCACACAGAUUAGGAACCAGAUGACUUAAUAUUGAUUUUGCACAGGUAGAAAACAUUUGAAGUAGAUUUGGAUUAGGUAUGCAAGUCAUUUUUAAAUGAAAUAAUGUAUUGCAAGCUUAAAUCAAAAUGUUUUAAACCUUGUAAAAUGUAGAAUAUUAUUGGGUGACAACAUAUGUAAUUAAUUUGGGACACUUCAAACUAAAUAAUGAGCCACAUAAAGAAAAUAUAGUGAGGAUAUAUCAUACCCUUGCCUGUCUUCAUAAUUGAGCUUGACAGCUGUAAGGAGCAAUAAAAAAGGUCAUACAGAAACCCAGAACAGUAUUAAAACUGAACACAAUAAAACACUGAUUAAAAUUUUGUAAUUUUUUUUGUUGACACCCUAAUUUUUCUUCUUCUUAACUUUUUCCUUCUCUUUUCUGUUGUUCAUUUUAAGCAAAAAAGCUUCUGACUUGAUCCAAAAGGUAGACAAUGACAAUAUAUUAAUCUUAAGAUGAAAAUAUAUUAAUCUUAAGGUAAAAAAACCAAGAAAUUCACCACCAUUUGCAAUUUGCUGCAGUGUUAAUAGAGUCCACAACCCUCCACCCAAAAAGAAAAACUUAAAAGAGAAGAAGGAAACCAAAGCACUUUGGGACAAAACAAACACAAUUUCAUUAUAAGAUGCAGCUAGCUACUGCAUCAUAAUAAAAGAAUUUCCAUCUAAUCCAUUGAACUUGAACAUAAAUAGAAAUUGAUAGCUAAACCUUAAAACAAAUUUAGGGUGUGCUUGGUAUGAAGGAAAAUAUUUUCCACAGAUUUGUUUUCUUAAACAAUAAGUGAUUUUCUUCCUAUGUGGUGAAACAGCUGAGACUGUUAACCAUAUAUUUUUACGUAACCACUCCUUAUGGUGUUAGCCUCUGGAGGUCCAUCAGAAGCUUGUGGAAUGAAGUUAAAAGUAACUCAAAGGCAAAAGUAAUGGAUGGGAAUAAGACCAGAUUUUGGAAGGACAUUUGGCAUGAGAAAGGCAACAUGGAAGAUCUCUUUCCAGACAUCUACAACCUAAUCAUGUUUCAACAAAGUACUAUAGCAGAUCUUUGGUCACCACAAGGAUGGAAUUUCAUUUUCAGAAGAAACCUUAAUGAUUGGGAAAUAGUGAGAGUUGCUGAAUUCUUAAACACUGUGAACACUUUCACGGGACUACAGCCAGGUGAGGAUAAAUUAUGGUGGACAGGAGAUGACAAGGGAGUGUUCAAAGUCAACAAAUCCUACAAGUUGAUGGAUCAGACAGAUCAACAGUGCUCAAGUUGGCCUUGGAAGCAAAUAUGGAAGAGCAGAAUCCCUCACAAAGUCUCCUUUUUUGUCUGGUCAAUGGCUAAGGAAGCAGUCCUUACACAGGACAAUGUUAUGAAGAGGGGGAGAACCCUGUGUUCUAGGUGCUUCCUAUGUGGUGAAACAUCUGAGACUGUUAACCAUCUAUUUUUACAUUGCAAGUACACCCAUCAUCUGUGGAGAUUAUUCCUAAGCCUCAAAGGCAUCUCCUGGACAAUGCCCAGGAAGGUGGCUGAGGCAUUAUUAUGCUGGGAGGAAGCAGGUGUACAUGCCAAGGAUAGAGGUAGAUGGAGAAUUAUCCCGGGGGCUAUCUGGUGGGCUGUUUGGAAAGAAAGGAAUUCAAGAUGUUUUGAGAGCAUAGAGAACAAUGUGCAGAAAGUUAAACUAAACUGCAUUUUACUUUUAGUCUUUUGGUGUAAUCAGUUAUACUCUAAUGACACUGUCUCUAUUAUUGAUGUGUUAGACUCAAUUUAGACGUAGAGAAGUGAAAUCAGGAGUACUCUUGUAUAUAAGGUUACAGUACGACCCAUGUACUGUUUUGUGAUAUAAUACAAAGUUACCAAGUUCAAAAAAAAACAAUAAGUGAUUUUCUUAGUUAUUUUAUGGUAUUUGGUAAGUAAGCAAAAAGAUAUUGUCCUAAGAGCAUUUCUAUGUAAUCUAGGAAAACACUAUGGGGUGGGAGGGUAGGGGUGAUGGGGGUGGGAUGGUCAAGGGGUUGGGGCGCUGUGGUGAGGAAGAGAAAACGAUCAAUGUCAUUCAUGGAACUUGUUUUUCAUACUCGCUCUAGGGAAGUUAUUUUCCUAUUUAUAAGGAACUUGAUUAACAAAAUAUUUUGAUCAACCAAACAUGAGAAAAUUGAAAAACAUUGGAAAAGGGUUUUCUCCGUACCAAACACACCCUUAUACCUCAAACUAUAAGAAGACCACUGUCAAAGGAUCCACCAAGAUCACCUUUCUUUUGGACAAUUUGUAAGUAGCUCAACAGCAUGUGUGUGAAGAUUAAAGUGGCAUACUAACCGAAGAAAUAGAGAUCAUUUUGGAGACAGGAAAUUUUUGCAUCAAGACUUUCUUGUAAGAUGUCCACUCCUUGCCCAGAAAAUGAAUAGCAAUAUCUCUAUACGGUUCACCUGCGAUUUCAGUAGACGUUCUUCCUAAACCCUUCAUGGAAUCCUCUGGUUUUCCAUGAUUCUCCCUUAAUGGAUCAAAGAACUCGUCCCUGCCAUAAUCCGUACCAUCAACCUACAGACUCAACCAAGUGAUUUUAAAAUUAGGAAAUGACAAAACAUCUGAAUAUGCUAAGAAAAACAGAUCCCGUGAUCAAUCAUAGAUUAAGGUUAUUGACUUAACAAUUGAUGGACCAUGGUGGUAUAUUGGUAUCACCAUUAUAAUCUUUUAAAAUAUUGAAGCACUAACAGCGGGUACAAGUUUAGCUACAUAUAUGGCAUACAUAAUCAUCUGAUUUCUUUUCCUGUGCUGGUUUUCCUCUUUUUCAACUAGCUUUUAAGUCCGUUCUCUUAUAGGAGUAGUUUCUUUUUGUCUUAAGUAUGUCUUCUCUAUUUCUGUUUUUUAAACUGUAGUGUGGGAACCAGCUCGCUAACCUAUUUUAUCGAGUGCAUGCAUCUUCUUACAAGUGUGAGCUCUUCCCACCAAAACUUAGGCAGAAAGGAUUAGGGUCUCCCGUGUGCUUCAUUACUGCACAGGCUUGGGUGCACUUUGUUUGCCCUGAGUCUUAACAUAAGGAGUACGGGAAGUCCAACUAUAACCUGCUCUGGUGAAAUUGCAUUGCCUAUAUCCCAAUAAAGUAGAAAUCAUGUGAACAUGUUGAAAUAUUGAUGUGAAUAGAUGGCUUGUAAGCAUUGGACAUUGUUCCAUUGGGUGUGUCCAUUAAGCUGUUAUUUCUGUUAAGUUGUUAACUCUGUUGUAUUAAGCUUAGCUGGCAGUGAGCUGUCAAAAGGUUAUUAGUCAGUUAGGUUGUUAUUGGGUGAUUAGUGAGUAGAUAUUUUAGGAGUGGUCCACACAUGUAUAUAAGGGUGUAGAUACAGCUGUAAAGAGCAGUUCUGCUCAUUUUCUCAAUACAGAAUUUCCUUUAUCUGCUUCUUCCUCUUCUGAACUCCUCCAUUUAUUAGUUUGUGAGCUUCAAGCUCAAACUUUACCAUGGUAUCAGAGCAGUCAAUGCUGGCUGUGUAGACAAUUGACUGAGACUAGCUCAGAGUUUGUCCGUAUAGCUAGAUCUAUUUUUUGUUUCAGAUAUCGAAGAUUCAUCAAUGGUGGCAAAUAAGAUCGAUCAGAAAGAUCCUCUCUACAUAGGUCCCUCAGAUGCUUCAAGCAGGGCUAAUCCCUAUCAAACUAACUGAAUCUGAGAAUUAUGGAGUGAGGAGCAGAUCGAUGAGGAUCUCACUGUUGGGAAAGAGAAUAUGGUUUCGUAACAGGCUCAUGCAUAAGGGGACUGUAUAGAGAUGAAUUACAUGAGCAAUGAGAGACAUGCAAUGCCAUCGUACUGUCUUGACUGAUGAGUACAAUCAGUGAGAAACUUCUUAGCGGAGUUGUAUAUGAUACCAGUGCUUUUGCAGUUUGGGCAGAUUUGAAGGAACGAUUUGACAAAGUAUAUCGAAUGAGAAUUUAUCAGUUGCACAGGGAAAUCACAACUCUCUCACAAGGUACUGAUUCUGUUUCAACCUAUUUCCCAAAAUUGAAAAAUGUAUGGGGUGAAUAUGAUGCUAUUGUACCUUCACCAAGUUGUGGUUGUCCUAAAUCAAAAGACUAUGAAGACCAUCAAUAACAGUUGAGGUUAAUACAAUUUUUAAGUGGAUUGAAUGAAUCAUAUGAACAAGCACGUACACAGAGCUUGUUCAAAGGCGCUACUCCAUCUAUAAACCAGCUUGUGCUAUAAUAAUUGAGGAUGAGAUUCAGCAUUCAGCUUGUUUAGUUACUGUGAAUGAGAAACCAGAUCCAAUAGCUAUGCGAGCCUGUAGAGAUCAAGGAACUCAAAACUAUAAUCAAGGAAAUUCAAACUAUAGAGGAAGAAAGGUGUUUUCACAAUGUGAAUAUUGUCAUUUCACUGGACAUACCAAGGAGAAUUGUUACAAAUUGAUUGGCUACCCUGCUGAUUGGAAACAAAGGAGGAAAAUUGGAAAUGGUAAUGGCUAUCCUAAGGGAACAUCUGGUCAUGGCAAUUCUGUAGGAUGUGGGAACUUUGGAACACAUGGAGGUCAGUCUAGUAAUUCUGGAGGAUAUGAAAACUUUGGACCACAUGGAGGUCAGUCUAGCAACAAUGGCCAACACUCUUUUGCUUAAGCAAAAAACAUUUCUGGAAGCCAUGGUGAUCAUAAUCAGAUUGCUUCAACUAGUCAUGAUGUGAAUAAUGUUUGUGUGGCCAAAGGACAAGUUUCACAGAUGGUGAGUACAAGCAGAUAUUGAAUCUAUUGAGUAAGGAUACAAAGGAGAUUCAAACCAAAUAACAAGCAUCACUACUUGUUUAAUGGUUAAUGAUUUUUCAAAUGACUGGAUAGUAGAUUCUGGUGCUUCUUACCAAGUAGACAUCUGUUGACAGAAGACCAUAGUUUGGCCAAAUCACAGAAGUAUAAGGUGAAUUUUCCCACAGGAGAGAGGAUCUCACACAUUGGUGAGGCAUCUAUGUUUGGAAGGCAAGAAAUUGACUUUUGUACAUAAUUUGUGAAGAUGGAAGAACGCCAUUUUUUCAUUAAUGAUGAUGCAUGUUGUGCUCUUUUUUAUGAAGAUGGGAUGGGGUUGGGAAUUUUUUUUACUUCAAUUUUAUACAAUUUAUUUCUUCUUGAAUUUAAUAUUUAUUCAAUCAAAUUUAUUGCAUUCACUCGCUUUAAAAGUUGUAAUACCACGCACUCCAUCCGAGUUAGCACUACAAGCCACAUAAGUUCGCUCAAUAAUCAGAGGUGUAAAGGUUGAGUUUUAUUGGGUUUUAGUGUCUAAUUGGAAAAGUCAUGAGUAGAAAGGGUUUAGUUGACAAUCCGAGCCAAGUAUAAGGGUCUUAGGCUAUUCCGUCUUUUCCUAAUAGUGCCUCUAGAGCAUCUAAGUCUUUUGAUAUUGUGUAAGAGGGUCUGGAUUACCAUGAUACUUUUUCUCCUAUUGCCAAGAUGGUGACGAUGAGGUGUGUUAUUUCCCCUCCAAAGGUCGAUCUUUAUGUCAAAUGGAUAUUAAUAAUGCCUUCUUAUAAGGUGAUUUGUAUGAAGAAGUAUAUAUGGAGGUAUAUAUGGAGAUGCCCGAGAAUUUUGGCCUGUAGGGGGAGAAGAAGGUUUGCAGAUUGCUCAAGUCCUUAUAUGGCCUCAAGCAGGCUUCCAGACAAUGGAAUAUUAAACUUACAACUACCCUCUUGAAUGCAGAAUUCAUCCAGAGUGUACAUGACUAUCCUUAUUCACUUUGAAAAAGAAGAGGGGAAUGGUGAUCAUCUUGGUGUAUGUUGAUGGUUUACUAAUCAUUGGAAGCAAUGUUCAAAUGAUUCAUGAGGCCAAAGAAGUAGUGCAUCAGCAGUUCAAGUUGAAAGAUUUGGGAGAGCUCAAGAAUUUUUUGGGCAUUCAAGUCCUGAGAUCCAAAGCUGGGGUCAUUCUGUACCAAAGGAAGUACAUAUUAGAGCUCAUUUCGAACAUAGGUCUCACUGGUGCAAAGCCAGUGUCUACUCAUUUAGAAUUCAACUUGAGGUUGACUACCUUAGAGUUUGAUUAAGCUACUGUCAAUAUAGGAGAUGCAGUCUUGAAUGAAAUCACCUCUUAUCAGAGGCUGAUUGCGAAGCUUAUGUAUGCUACCAUCACUAGACCUGAUAUCAGUUAUGCUGUCCAAACUUUCAGUAAGUUUAUGCAACAUCCCAAGAAGUCACACUGGGAGGCUACCACUAGAGUGGUUAGAUAUUUGAAAGGUCCAGUUGGUCAAGGAGUUUGAUUGCAAGCUCAUCCUACUGAAGAAUUGACUUGUAGGUGUGACUCAGAUUGGGCUACGUGGCCCUAAUACAAGAAUAUCAGUAACAGGUUAUGUGGUUAAAUUUGGGAGUUUAUAGUGUCCUGGAAAUCAAAGAAGUGGCAGACUGUUUCCAGAUAUUCAACUGAGGCUGAAUACAGGAGUAUGGCCACAGUUGUGGCAGAGGUGACCUGGUUGUUUUGGUUGUUCACUAAACUAGAUGUUCACAUUCGGAUGCCUGUCACAGUAUUGAGUGAUAGCAAGUCUGCAAUGCAGAUGCCAGAUAGCAGCCAACCUAAUCCUCCAUUAGAGGACUAAGAACAUAGAGAUUGACUGCACUUCAUUCGAGAUAAGAUUAAGGAUGAUUUGGUGGAAAUAGUGUAUGUUCCUACACAGCAACAAAUAGCAGAUUUGUUGACUAAGGGUCUAGGACAAAAACAAUAUCAUCACCUGCUGGGCAAGCUUGGUGUUCUUAACAUAUUACACCCUCAAGCUUGAGGGGAGUGUCGAAAUAUUGAUUUGAACAUGUGGCUUGUAAGCACUGGACAUUGUUCCAUUGGGUGUUUCCAUUAAGCUGUUGAGCUGCUAAUUCUGUUAAGCUGUUAACUCUGUUCUAUUAAGCUUAGCUGCCAAUCAGCUAUCAAAAGAUUAUUAGUCGGUUAGGUUGUUAUUGGGUGAUUAGUGAGUAGAUAAUUUAGGAGUAGUCCACACAUGUAUAUAAAGGGUAUAGAUACAGUUAUAAAGAGCAGCUCUGCUCAUUUUCUCAAUACAAAAUUUCCUUUCUCUUCUUCUUCUUCUUCCUCUUCUGAAUUCCUUCAUUAAUGAGUUUGUGAGCUUCACACUCAGAUUAUAUCAGAACACAAAAAACUUGAAUGCAAUUCUAACUUAUCUACUUCUUAAUAACUUUUUUUUUUAUAAUGAAGCACUGAGAUUUACCUGUAACUAUUUUACUUAAAAUUUUCAUUUUGAAAUUUUACCCACAUUCUAUUUUGGCUAAUCUAUACAGAAAAAUAGAAGAUUUAAUCAUGAUAAUGAGUAGUUUGGCCAUGAAAUUUGAUCCUGGCAUUUGGCCAUGAAUUUUUUACUUUUCUCCAUAGUUCAACUCCGGAAAACGCGUUUCGCCAUAAAUUUUCAACUUGAAGUUAGAAUUUUCUAGAAAUUCAAAAACAACAAAAAGGUGUUUUCACUUCAAAUUACUCACAAAAAAGUCCAAAACAACUCCAAUUUCUAUUCAUGACCAAACACAAAAAAUUUAAAAUUCAUUUUUUUCACUUUGAUAAAAGGAUAAGGGUAUACUUUGAUUUUUAUGAUUAACUUUAACUAAUAUUAUUAAAAUCAGUUUAGAUACUAAUUUGAUACAUUAAAUAUCAAUAUUUUUUGGUACCUCAAUGCAUGUUUUUAUUUGAUGUCAGUUUUGAUAUUGGGUUGACUUCAAUUUAGAUUACAGGUCAUUUAAAGUGUCAAAUACGUAUAAAGUGUUCAUUUAGUGUAUGUAUUGAUAUUGAAGCUUCUACGAAAAAAAUAUUUUAUUGUGGAAAUUGAUAUGUAAAAUGGUAUACCCAUUUCGUUUACUAUGAAAAUGUAGGAUACAAUCAAGUAUCUUAUGAUAAUAAUACACAAUUUCCUAACUUGGUGAACUAAACAAAGUAUGCUGCUCUUUACUAAUGGAUACCAUUUUUAUUCACUUUUCAAACAAUAAUAAAAGAUAUAAUAAUUCAUGGGGUAUCGAAUUUCAUACAGUAAAAUAUUUAUAUACUAAUUUACAUAAUUUUUUUAUACAGUAACACUUAUAAAAGAUAUAAUAAUUUACAAAUUUGUUGGAUAAAAUUCAUACUUAUUUUAUAUAGUAAAAUAUUUAUGUAUACUAAGCUAAACUUACUAAUUGAUACCAAUAUGUUUACACUUUUAAACAUCAAUAAAAAGUAUAGUCCACAAAUUUGUUGAGAUAUCAAAUUUCAUACAAUAAAAUUUUCAUGCAUACUAAACUAAACUUUUAAAUUUUUAUACAUGCUGUAAAAAUUUCUUUAUGAACCAAGAAAGAUGAACAAAUAUCGUUGAGUGUGGGUGAUAUGUGUUUUCUUUGAAAAAUAGUAGAAAGAUAGUGAAGAAUUGAUAAUGAUGUGGAGAGAGAAAAUUUACUGUUGGUUAACAGGGAGAAACGUGUUUAAGAUAAAAAAAAUCCCUUAAUUGUAGUAAUUGAUUAGUAAAUCCAUUUUCUCUUUCUUAAUAAUUAUGCUAACACUUAAUAAAUUAAAAUAUGUUAGGGAUAAGGGUCUGAAAAAUACCCCAACUUUGGUCGGAUUUGCUGUUGCGAUACUAAACUUUCAUGAGGACCUAUUACCUCCCUAGACUAUUUAAUAUCGUAUUUUAAACAUAUAUAUUUGUCCACGUGGACAUAAAAAAUAAUGCAAAAUUAUAAAUAGUAAUGUAUCCACGUGGACACAAAUAUACCUUUAAAAUACACUAUUAAAUAGUUCAGGGAAUAAAAAAUACGGUAUUAAAUAAUCUAGGGAGAUAAUAGGUCCUCAUGUUUAGUAUCGCAACAGCAAAUUCGACCAAAGUUGGGGUAUUUUUCACGCCCUUAUCCCUUUGAUAAACAAAAUCUACUUUUUUUUCUUCAAAUUUUUCACAAGGAAACAUGGUCAAUAACCAACUUAAUUAUUCAAUCAUGAUCAUAUGUAGUUUGUGUUCAUUACUUUGUUUAAAACCCUGAUCAUACUGAAAUUGUUCACCCUAGAUUCCACUUUUUGUACAAUUUAUCACAAAAACUUAAUACUUUACAACAUUCUCCAUUGAUUCAAAUGCAAGCAGUAGGUAAUAAGUUGCUGCGAUUAAUAUAAACGAGGAAGAGAAAAACAAAUUGAACCUGGUCAGACGACGGUGAUUGAGGAGAGAGAGGAUGAGUCUCUGCUGCCACACGAGAGAGGGAGUGAACUUGUUCUUCAGCUUUGUAAUCUCGAUGUCGAAAUUUGAGUUCCAUGAAGAAUCAAAGUGCUGUAUUUGCCAAAUUGUGCAAUUAGCUACACUAUGCUAAGCGGUCCGAUUCGUGCAGAAGAGCAAUCAAAGAACAAAUUCUCAAAGGAAGAAUUUCAUAGAGAAAAGAGUCAAUUUUGGGAAGGAAUAC
rnacentral:lncRNA from 1 species